rnacentral:miRNA from 3 species
UGAGGUAGUUUAUAAAGCUGCGA